UACGUAGGGUGCGAGCGUUGUCCGGAAUUACUGGGCGUAAAGAGCUCGUAGGUGGUUUGUCGCGUUGUUCGUGAAAACUCACAACUCAAUUGUGGGCGUGCGGGCGAUACGGGCAGACUGGAGUACUGCAGGGGAGACUGGAAUUCCUGGUGUAGCGGUGGAAUGCGCAGAUAUCAGGAGGAACACCGGUGGCGAAGGCGGGUCUCUGGGCAGUAACUGACGCUGAGGAACGAAAGCGUGGGUAGCAAACAGG
rnacentral:rRNA from 1 species